CGUGAAGGGGGACCCAAGUGCUCAUGCAUUGCAUGGGCUGUUCUUUGGUCUAAGUAACCAGAGGAGUAAGGGCUGGGCAAGACCGGUGCCAGCAGCCGCGGAUUAGA
rnacentral:rRNA from 1 species